rnacentral:lncRNA from 1 species
AGCAAUUCUCCUGCCUCAGCUUCCCAAGUAUCUGGGACUACAGGGUUUUUACCUUAAAUAACUAAUUACUGGCCAUAUUUGGGAAGUGUUGAAAAAAAGCAGACAAUCUGAGGAUGAUGUUGACUUGGGGAUCCAAAGGCACAGUACACAUCUUUGUAAUGUUCUGUGAUGAAAUAGAAGGAAGUGUGUGUAAAUAAUUCUGCUGCACGCUGAACACAAAGGGUGCUUCAAGGAGAAGCUUUAUGUUUAUCACCUUGU